GCUCUGACAUCACUGAGCACGUGGGCUGCGGCCGCUCUUAAAGUGGCCGCGAGGGUCGCGAGGCUGACCAGGUCCGGAUGCUGCGAGCGCCGCGGGCCAGGUGGGCCUGUCCCGGGACCCGCAACCGGGCGACUUCCCGGGGGCAGGGGUGGCGUGUGGCCUGUAGAAUAAACUGAGGGAAAGUAGACAGACUGUGCUCACCGAUUUAAAAGAACAGCCCUGAAAUGACCCCCGUUACGCCCUGUUCUCUUUAGACGAGUGACUUCCACCUGGAGCGGUUUCUGGGCCCGGGCAUGGGGAUUUCCUCACCCGGCCGCCUAGGCUUUCACCUCUGUGGAAUUUCCCGCGCCCCUGCUGGGAUGAUUUAGGGACUGUUGGCUAGAACUGCCCUUGCCGCCCGCCCUACUGCGGGCGCUCCCCUGUCUGUGGGGGGUGCUUGGCUGGGUGUGGAGAAGGAUCAAUCACAGCUGACUCCUGAGAGGUGACAGCCCCCGCCCCCUUAAAAACAAGAAAAGAUCUGGAAGUGUGAAGCCAAACUGCAGCCCCACCCCCGGUGACAGGAGGAAACCGCGAGGCGCACAGCCUAAGGUUCAUCGUUCAUCUCCUUCUGCUUGGAGUCAGAAUGUCCUCACUGCUGAGUUCCUCCGUUUUGUGGGAUUACAUUAGUGGACAAAGGAGACUCUGCUCUCUCACCUGAUGGCAAUGACGCGCAGCAACACUGAGCUCCUCCGAGUGAAGAAAUCAUUGUUUUCUGCACAACCUGGAGCUGAAUCAUAGAAGAAGACAGCUUGAAAGAUAAGAGGCCGUAAGGCAGACCACAGAGGUUGGGGAGGAUUUCCCCAGCACCCCAGCCCCCACAGUCAGCUCUGGUUCAGCGAUUUCAGCAACUCUUUCUUGACCCAUCUGAUUUUGUUUUAUCCCAGCCCUACAGAGAAAGGACUCUACAGGUCAGGACUUGCUUCUUCAACAAACAAAAACUCCUCUGCCAGAAAAGUUGGAGAAACUAGUUUAGUCGGAGGAUAUGAAGAAGUCACAUCCUGUUUGUUCUGGGGACCUUGUUCUGGGGACCUUGGUGGGAAAUGAGGGUGGGCUGGUGGAGACAAGGAUGAGAAUGAACCUUACUGCAGACCCUUUGGGCUCCACGAGGAGCUGGCUGCAGAAGAGGAAGGGAAGGAAGUUGGCCAGCUGCUGUCUCUGUGACUGGACUUGGGCCAAUCAAGAAACUGAGAGGAGCAGGGCCAGCCAGGCUGUUGUGCCUCAAACUUAGGCAGAAACAAGAAAAGGCAACGAUUUGGGGCUCUGAGUCACCCUCUCUGGAGAAAAGAGAGCUUGGAGGAGGAAAUCACUUUUUGAGCUCCCUUUGCUUUUACACACACAUGUGUUUAUUCCAGUAAAUUCAAACCAAAGAGGAAGAAGUCAUGAAAGGGCAGCUGCCACCUCAGGCCGUGGUGACCGAGACAAAGGAUAUGGGCUGGAUGUAGAUGUCUAAGAAACCAACAGGUAUGCUUUUCGGCUUACCUUGGUUCUGAGCGCCUACUUUUGACCCAUGGGAUCAAAGAUAUUGUUCACGGCUCCAUUCCCAGCACCUGGUACAUCAUAGGUACUCAAUAAAAAUUUUACCAAAUGAAUGAGAGAAAUGGCCAAUACAAAGACUGGCCAAUACUAAGAGUGAAACAGCACUCUUUAGCCUUGGGCUAUGCAUUGUCUUUGGAGCUUGAGAGAUGUGAGUUCCAAUCCUGGCUCUGUCUUUUCUCGGCUUUGUGAACUCAGGCAGUUUAUUGACCCUCACGGAGCCUCAGUUUUCUCUUCCAUGAAGUAGGGGGGAAUAAAACCUACUCCUCAUGGAGAUAAUAUA